AUUGAACGCUGGCGGCAGGCCUAACACAUGCCAGUCGAACGGUAACAGGAAGCAGCUUGCUGCUUUGCUGACGAGUGGCGGACGGGUGAGUAAUGUCUGGGAAACUGCCCGAUGGAGGGGGAUAACUACUGGAAACGGUAGCUAAUACCGCAUAACGUCGCAAGACCAAAGAGGGGGACCUUAGGGCCUCUUGCCAUCGGAUGUGCCCAGAUGGGAUUAGCUAGUAGGUGGGGUAACGGCUCACCUAGGCGACGAUCCCUAGCUGGUCUGAGAGGAUGACCAGCCACACUGGAACUGAGACACGGUCCAGACUCCUACGGGAGGCAGCAGUGGGGAAUAUUGCACAAUGGGCGCAAGCCUGAUGCAGCCAUGCCGCGUGUAUGAAGAAGGCCUUCGGGUUGUAAAGUACUUUCAGCGGGGAGGAAGGGAGUAAAGUUAAUACCUUUGCUCAUUGACGGUACCCGCAGAAGAAGCACCGGCUAACUCCGUG
rnacentral:rRNA from 1 species